rnacentral:rRNA from 1 species
UACGUAGGGUGCAAGCGUUAAUCGGAAUUACUGGGCGUAAAGCGUGCGCAGGCGGUUUUGUAAGUCUGACGUGAAAUCCCCGGGCUCAACCUGGGAAUGGCAUUUGGGACUGCAAGGCUUGAGUGCGGCAGAGGGGGGAUGGAAUUCCGCGUGUAGCAGUGAAAUGCGUAGAUAUGCGGAGGAACACCGAUGGCGAAGGCAAUCCCCUGGGCCUGCACUGACGCUCAUGCACGAAAGCGUGGGGAGCAAACAGG